rnacentral:rRNA from 1 species
UACGAAGGGGGCUAGCGUUGUUCGGAUUUACUGGGCGUAAAGCGCACGUAGGCGGAUCGUUAAGUCGGGGGUGAAAUCCUGGAGCUCAACUCCAGAACUGCCUUCGAUACUGGCGAUCUUGAGUCCGGAAGAGGUGAGUGGAACUCCUAGUGUAGAGGUGGAAUUCGUAGAUAUCAGGAAGAACACCUAUGGCGAAGGCAGCACUCUGGGACGGUACUGACGCUGAGACGCGAAAGCGUGGGGAGCGAACAGG